rnacentral:rRNA from 1 species
UACGUAGGGUGCGAGCGUUGUCCGGAAUUACUGGGCGUAAAGAGCUCGUAGGUGGUUUGUCGCGUUGUCCGUGAAAACUCACAACUCAAUUGUGGGCGUGCGGGCGAUACGGGCAGACUGGAGUACUGCAGGGGAGACUGGAAUUCCUGGUGUAGCGGUGGAAUGCGCAGAUAUCAGGAGGAACACCCGUGGCGAAGGCGGCUCUCUGGGACGGUACUGACGGCUGAGACGCGAAAGCGUGGGGAGCGAACAGG